rnacentral:rRNA from 1 species
UGAGGAAUAUUGGUCAAUGGGCGGGAGCCUGAACCAGCCAAGCCGCGUGAGGGAAGAAGGCCCUAUGGGUCGUAAACCUCUUUUGUCAGGGAACAAAAGCGAGUAUGUAUACUAGUCUGAGUGUACCUGAAGAAAAAGCAUCGGCUAACUCCGUGCCAGCAGCCGCGGUAAUACGGAGGAUGCGAGCGUUAUCCGGAUUUAUUGGGUUUAAAGGGUGCGUAGGCGGCGAUGCAAGUCAGCGGUAAAAGCCCGGGGCUCAACCCCGGCGAGCCGUUGAAACUGCAGUGCUAGAGAAGGCGAGAGGUACGCGGAAUGCGCAGUGUAGCGGUGAAAUGCUUAGAUAUUGCGCAGAACUCCGAUUGCGAAGGCAGCGUACUGGCGCCUGACUGACGCUGAGGCACGAAAGCGUGGGGAUCGAACAGGAUUAGAUACC